rnacentral:rRNA from 1 species
GAUUAACGCUGGCGGCGUGCAUAACACAUGCAAGUCGAACGAUAAAACUUAGUAGACUUCUUCGGAACGACACUAAGCGGAUUAGUGGCGAACGGGUGAGUAACGCGUGAGUAACCUGCCUUACACAAGGGGAUAGCCUUUGGAAACGAAGAAUAAUACCCUAUAACACCAUGAAAGAACAUGCUAGAAUGGUCAAAGUGAUAGCGGUGUAAGAUGGACUUGCGUCUGAUUAGCUAGUUGGUGAGAUAAAAGCUCACCAAGGCAACGAUCAGUAGCCGGCUGGAGGGAGUGGACGGCCACAUUGGGACAGGGACAAGGCGCAAACAUCGAAGAGAGGCAGCAGGGGGGAAGUUGGCACAAUGGGGGAAACCAGGAGGCAGCGGGGUCGCGAGAUUGAGAAGGCCGGCGGGUUGUAAAAAUCGUUUGUAUAGGAAGAAAAUGACAGUACUAGAAGAAGAAGGUCCGGCUAAUUACGUG